rnacentral:rRNA from 1 species
UGUUUCGGCUAGGGGGUCAUCCCGACUUACCAACCCGAUGCAAACUACGAAUACCGAAGAAUGUUAUCACGGGAGACACACGGCGGGUGCUAACGUCCGUCGUGAAGAGGGAAACAACCCAGACCGCCAGCUAAGGUCCCAAAGUCAUGGUUAAGUGGGAAACGAUGUGGGAAGGCCCAGACAGCCAGGAUGUUGGCUUAGAAGCAGCCAUCAUUUAAAGAAAGCGUAAUAGCUCACUGGUCGAGUCGGCCUGCGCGGAAGAUGUAACGGGGCUAAACCAUG